rnacentral:lncRNA from 1 species
UUUGAGCAAGGUACGGAGGACUUUAACAGAAGAGGAUGAAGAGAACAAGAAUAUUUAGGUGGGGACAUGAUUCAAAGAUACUCAGGUGGUAAAAUGAAGAAUUGUUUAUGCUCCAGGAUGUGGUUCACUGAGGCUACUUGGUUGGAGGGGAUGAGGCAGCACGUAAUAGGAAGGGAUCAUGAAAGCAUUUAAAAUAUGCUUUGAUUGGAAUCCAAACUUCACGCCGGAUUCUGUUAAAGAGUGCUCAGCCCAUCCAUGUGAUUAUUGAUAUAUGCUUCACUCGCUGGAUUGGAAAUUCCACAAGGUCAGAAAUGAUGUCUGCUUUAUUUACAUAGUCUGCUAGCUUCUGGCCCAGCAGCCAACACCUGCAGCAAACAGGUGUUCUGGAAACAUUUCUCAAAUGAAAGCAAAAAUUCCCCAGUUCACAUAACUUUUCCCAAUAAGAGCAAUAUCAGCAAAAGGAAGUAAAAAUGUUUAUCUGUGUUUACUUUUUGUUCUCCCUCAGGGAUUAUUGUUUUAUUUACACAAAAGCAAAGAAUCCGCUAUGGAAACUACAGUUUUAGCUCAUGCUCUCAUUUAGUGGUGAAUAGAUUGAAUAGUAACCAGUUCAGCCAGGCAGCAAUUUCCUCCUUUGGUGAAUUAACCAUCCAAUCCCUUCUAGGCUGCUCCCUGCCUGGGGUAAGGGGUACAAUACAGCACACAGGGACCUUUAGUGACUAACAUCCACUGAUGGAGAGGGCUCUGCUGCUUCAUUCUUCCCAUUGCCUCUGUCUCACAGGCUCGGGAGUGUUCAGAAGACCACAAAGCAUUUCCAGGGGCCAGGGAGUGAACUUGGAUGGUGUCCUACAGAUUUCAUCGAAUUAACCUUUUAAGGUUAAUUUAUGUGCCAAGACUCAAAAGAGUAGCUUCCCUGGUAGGUAUCACCUCAUUGGUUCUUAACCUUUUUAAUUUAACCACUUACUCUUUUGAAAAUAUGAUGAAAGCUAUAUGCACUCUCCUCACCCUUAAACCCACCUAAGCCUAAAUGUAUAGAGUUGUGCAUCAAGUUUCAGGAAUUUAUGAGGUCUGUUAGAUACUCUGGAGGGGUAAAAUCAGUAAAGGGUAUAUUGGAGGUAGAACACUGGAGAACAACGAGUGGAUCCUGAGUUUACUGCCUUCAAGUUAACCGAAAGAAAAAUGAUGUUUUUCUGAAUGCUGCCUGUUGUCCCUGCAUUUGUCCAGCACAGAAACGUCAAAGAAAAGUUCCUGACAUUCUCAAAAAGAGAUGGAUAAGGAAAAGAAUGAGCAGGAGGGAGAGAAUCUUCAUAUUCAGUGAGGUCAAGAUAUGAAUGACCUUUAGAGUUCUUAUUUUCCACAAGAGUAAAACCCCAAUCCAUCCAAAAUGAUGAAAAGUGAGUUCUGCUUUCAACUGGCACCGUCUCCUUAGCUAAUUUGCUGAAAGGUAGUGUGGGUGGGAAAAGGCAGCUGAGAGAGAGGGUUACGUUUCGUCCUUUCAUAAUUCCCUUCGGCUCACCAGGUAAAUGUAUACUUCAAGAAAAAUCUAUGUAAUGUUUUCACAUAAAAAGAAAACACAGUUGGAAAGUAAUUCAGAUUGUGUAUGGAUUUAGAGAUGUGGACCAGUAUUUCAGAGUUCCCCAAAUUUAUGUAAAAUAAGGCUAUAAAACUUGUUUAUCUAUCUCUCCUUCAACUGAUACCCUGUGCUAUCCGACUUCCAAAUUUGAGGCCCUUUUGUCUCUCGGUAGUUUAUUCUGCCAUCUAGUAUAAUUUACUAUUAACAUCUAGAAGUGUGCUUCUCCUUGACUAUAUUGUGUUAUGAAUCAAAAUGAAAUCCCUCCUUGUGGUCGCUAAACCAGGAAGGAGGAAAUCACCACCCAUGGAAUCUAGCAGAGUUUUGAAACAAAGGAAAAGUUGUGGACUUCAAGCCAGUUGGAUGAACUUUUCAUGCACUUCCCUUUCCCUAACAGCGGGGCAGGGAUGCGGGGGGUGGGGAGGGGUGGGAAAUACCACUAGCAUCACCUCCUACAAAGUUGAGGAUUACAGCAAAAUAGGCAGCCGAGAGGAGCAAUAGAUAAGAAAUAACACACCCAGCCAGAAAAGCAGGACUUUGAAAAAACACAUGAAAGAGACCCAAAGAGAAACGAAGCAGGUAUUGGAGAAGCAAGGUUGUGGAGGAGAAUUAAAACGGCACAUUUCUCUUCUGAGCUUGAUUUAGACUUUGGCAGUGCAUGCAGAGAGCCCUCACUCAAGAAUUAUUGUGCUAACAGGACUUUGUUACUUGGCACAUUGUAGGCUUUAUGUUUUGCUAAUAGUCACAACCACCCUAUAUUUUUAUCUUUUAUUCUCAUUUAACUGAUGAGGAAACCGGCUCAGAGAGAGUUAAGCACCUUGCAGAGGGUCACCGCAAGUAGGAGAACAGAAUUAGGAUUUGAACCUAAACAAGAUGUCCAGAGACUCUGUGCCACGCCAAGGAAGUUUCUCUCAUGUGCCCAUAGGUCUCAGACUUGGUUUUCAGCACAUUUUCCUUCUUUCUCCUACACUCUCCUGCCUGAGAGGAUUUGGAAGACUGGAGAAGAGGAACUGGAGUCCAUGAGGGGAAAGGGCACCAUAACCCAACAGAAGAACAAGGCUCACCUCCUGUCCAGGCCUCCGGUUUUCAUUUGUACAACGAAGGAAUUUGCUUGUACGGUUCCUACUGCCUGCUGAUUUAGUCUAAGAAGCACGGCAUAUGUAUAACAGAUGGAGAACUUUCCCUGGGAAAUUUGACCACUUGAGUCAGAGGAGAAAAUGCGCCCAAACCCGAAAUUCCACAAAACUUGGAGAAUAUUUGCACUUGCCCUUGAAUGUAGUUAACUCAAAAGUGUCCCUUGCAAGGUUCUCAUCAACUGAGCGAAGUGCCUUCAUUUUGCUGGGUUUAGUGAAGAAUGAGUCUAGAAAGAGGCCAUGGGGAUAGUGUGUUUUACAACCAGACCCCUAUCCCCCCAUCUUCCAAGGAUGAGCGGAAAUUGUUCCUUUCUGUCCUCUCUCCUGAUGCCGUUUUCUCUCACCUGGUUUCCUCAUGACUCUUAGCUAAGUCCCAGCUAGUGACUCUUUAUUGUGACACAGGUAACACAGUUGGAGUUGGUGAAAAUUUUUGAAAGAACUAAAGCCCAUCUGAUUUGUUGAAAAACAAAAAUAUCCAACAAUGAGGUGAAGAGACCUCAUUUCCCCAUUAUUCAUCCAUUUAAUAUUUCCCGAGUACCUUCUGUGUUUCAAACAUUUUUCUAGUUGUUUGGGAAAUGUUAGUGAAUAAUGUGGAUCGAAAUGGCUACCCUUGCUUUAGGUGUGUAAAUGUUAUGGGAAGAGUGGAUCAGGGUGUGAGGGGCGAGCAGAUUACAGCACUGGGAAGUAUAGGGAAGCCUCCUUGGGAAGUUGAGAUUGGGCUAGGAAUUGAAGGAUCUAGGAAUUGGCUAAGUGGCUAUGUGGGAGAAUAAUCUAGGCAAAGGGACAGCUAGAAGUGACGGUUUGAGUUGGGAGCUUGGUCAUACACUUGAGGAACAGUAAGGAAGCCAGCAUGGCUGGUGCAAGGAGAGAAAAUAAUGGGCGGGAAAGGAAGACAAAGAGAAAGGGGCCAGAUUGGACCUUUGUAGGUUCUUAUAAGGAUUUCAGCUUUUAUUCUGCAUGGAGAGCCAUUGGAGGGUCUGAGCAAAUCAGUAACACCACCUGACACUCCAGCUGCUGGGUACAGGUAGGGUGGCAUUGGGGCAAGAGUUUGUAGGGAGAGCAAAGGAAAUCAAGACAACCAGUUAGAGUUUAUUGCGGAAAGUCGGGGGAGAGUGAUAAUGGCUUACACCAGGCCAGAGUGGUAACAGCAAGUGGUGGUAACCAGGAGUCAGAUUCCGGAUAAUUCAAACAGCACAAAAUCCUGGGAGAUUGGGGAUGAGAUGUGAGGAAGAGAAAAACCAUUGAUCAAGAAGACAUUAAAUGUAAGCUACUAGAAGGAUGGAGUCUCCAUCAACUUAGACACUUGAGAAAGUAUGUAAACUAAUGUGGAAGGAUUAUUUGGGUUUGGGGAAAUGUUUGCUUAAUGGAAGUCUUCCAAAUGCAUCCUGAGUGGAGCUCCUCAAUUACACCCAUAGUUGCAUUAAGUGGUGGCCAUGACUGGUAGAGCAAAGGAGACUGAGGCAGAAAGGAGGUGAAUGAGGAGUGAGGGAUAGAGUAACAUUUAUUGUGUUCCAGUCACUGUAUGAGGCCUUUUUUUUUUUUUUUUUUUUGGUCUUUUUAAGGCCACACCUGUGGCAUAUGGAAGUUCCCAGGCUAGGGGCCAAAUCGGAGCUACAGCUGCCAGCCUACACCACAGCUCAUGGCAACACUGGAUCCCUAACCCACUGAACAGGGCCAGGGAUCAAACCCACAUCUUCAUGGGUACUAGUCAGAUUCGUUACCACUGAGCCGUGAUGGGAACUCCUGGCCUCUUUUUUUACAAGAAAAAUUAUUUAGGUUUAAAGUGUACAAUGUGAGUAUGAAAUAAUGCCAUUUGCAGCAACAUGGAUGAACAUAGAAGUCAUCUCACUAAGUGAAAUAAGACAGAGUAAGACAAAUACUCUUAGAUAUAUGAGACACUAAUAUGUCCAGUCUAAUAAUGAUGACACAGUAGAACUUGCAAAACAAAAACAGACUCAAAGGUUUUGAAACCAAACUCAUGUUUACCAAAGAGGAAAUGAGGGGAGGGGAAGGGUAAUUUAGGGGCUUGGGAUUGAUGUAUAUACAUUGCUAUAUAAGAAAUAAAUGGGUAACUAGGACCUACUCUAUAGCACAGGGAAACUUACUCAAUGCUGUAUAAUAACUUAUAUGGGAAAAGAAUCUGAAAAGGAAUGGAAGGAAUGGAUAUAUGCAGACAUAUAAUUGAUGUACUUUGCUGUAGGCCUUAAAUUAACACAACUUUGUAAGUGAACUAUAUGCCAAUAAAAUAAAAUAAAAAUUCUAAAAAGUGUACAACAUGAUUUGAUAUAUAUAUACACAGUGAAGUGAUUACUAUGGUCAAGCUCGUUAACAUAGCAUAUCCUACUUUUUUGUGUGUAAUAAGAACACUUGAAAUCUACUUUCUCAGAAAAUUUCCAGUAUUUCAUCCAGUGUUAUGAACUGUAGUCACAACACUAUACUUUUGAUGUCUAGACCCACCCAUCCUACAUAACUGCAACUUUGUACCCUCUGACCAACAUCUUUGCCCCACACUCCCACCCCUGCUCACUACUGUUCUACUCUCUGUGUCUAUGUAUUUAACUUUUCUAGGUUCCACAUAUAAGUGAGGUUGUGCAUUUUGUUUUCUUUCUGUGUCUGGCUUAUUUGACUUGGCAUAAUGUCCUCCACAUCCACUUAUGUUGCAGAUGGCAGGAGCUCAUUCUGUUCUGAGUCUAAAUAAUAUUAUAUAUCCUCCCAUAUAUUAUAUAAUAUUACUUAAAUCUAUAGCAAUCUUCUUUUUUUCUUCCAGCUUUAUUGAGAUAUAAUUGACCUUCAACAUUAUAUAAGAUUAAGGUGUGGGUGUACAAUGUGUUGAUUCGAUCCAUUCAUCCAUUGAUGAAUGCUUGGGUGGUGUCCAUAGUUUAGCUAUUGGGAAUUGCUGCAAUGAAGAGGGGAGUGAAGUUAUCUCUUCAAGGUACUGAUUUCACUUUCUUCAGAUAUAAGUCCAGAGGUGGGAUUGCUGGAUCACAUAGUUAUUCUAUUUUCAGUUUUUCGAGCAGCCUCCAUACUCUUUCCAUAGUGACUGCACCAAUUUAUAUUCCCCCUGGCAGUAUGCAAGGGUUCCCCUUCCUCCACAUCCUGGUCAAUUCUUGCUAUCUUUUAUAUCGCUGUUUUCAUAAUAACCAUAACAACAGGUGUGAGGUGAUGUUUCAUUUUAGUUUACAUUUCCCAGAUAAUUAGUGAUGUUGAGCAUCUUUCUAUAUACCUGUUGGCCAUUUGUAUGUCUUCUUUGGGAAAAA